rnacentral:rRNA from 1 species
CCUACGGGCGGCUGCAGUGGGGAAUAUUGGACAAUGGGCGAAAGCCUGAUCCAGCCAUGCCGCGUGUGUGAAGAAGGCCUUCGGGUUGUAAAGCACUUUCAGUGGGGAAGAAAGCCUUGGGGCUAAUACCCUCGAGGAAGGACAUCACCCACAGAAGAAGCACCGGCUAACUCCGUGCCAGCAGCCGCGGUAAUACGGAGGGUGCGAGCGUUAAUCGGAAUUACUGGGCGUAAAGCGCGCGUAGGCGGUCUGAUAAGCCGGUUGUGAAAGCCCCGGGCUCAACCUGGGAACGGCAUCCGGAACUGUCAGGCUAGAGUGCAGGAGAGGAAGGUAGAAUUCCCGGUGUAGCGGUGAAAUGCGUAGAGAUCGGGAGGAAUACCAGUGGCGAAGGCGGCCUUCUGGACUGACACUGACGCUGAGGUGCGAAAGCGUGGGUAGCAAACAGGAUUGGAUACCCCAGUAGUC